UACGUAGGGUGCAAGCGUUGUCCGGAAUUACUGGGCGUAAAGAGCUCGUAGGUGGUUUGUCACGUCGUCUGUGAAAUUCCACAGCUUAACUGUGGGCGUGCAGGCGAUACGGGCUGACUUGAGUACUGUAGGGGUAACUGGAAUUCCUGGUGUAGCGGUGAAAUGCGCAGAUAUCAGGAGGAACACCGAUGGCGAAGGCAGGUUACUGGGCAGUUACUGACGCUGAGGAGCGA
rnacentral:rRNA from 1 species